UUAAACUUUAAUAAAUUCUAAAUUUAUCUUUAUAAUUAAUUGUUAAAUUGUGUUAAUUGAAAGAUAGAUGGCGCAUUAAUAAAUGUUAUGAAGGAAACUAAUCGUUGUCAUGGUAACCAUGGUAACGCGUCUUUCAUUCUUGUUUUUGUGUAACUGUCAAUUUUCGAACAACAAAAAGGUAAAAUUUUUCGUGUUUAAUAAAUAAAAUAUAUAAAAAUGUUACAUACAUUCAAGCACUUGCCAAAAAUUCAACAGUUUAUGUUAAAAUUAGGAUGUAGCCGAGGCAAUGAUUGGGGAAUAAUUAGAUACACAAUUGAAUAUGGUAUUCUAAAUCUAACAAGCACGGAAAUUCCUCAGCAAUACCGUGGAAAGGGGCAUUCUUAUGUACUUGCAGAGAAAACAUUUGAUUAUAUCAUCGAACAACAGUGGAGAAUGAAAUUAACGUGUGCAUUUCUUCAAGAUUUUUUUAAGAAGAACUGCGACAAGUACCAUCCUUAUGUACUUGAACAUCCUUGGAAGUUUAGAGCUUAAGAUCUGAAUAAAACAACAUUAGUCAUUUGCCCAUCUCCACACAGAGCUAAAGGAAUUUUGUUUACGUCGGUGGGCGAAACGAAAAAGAAGAAUUACCUCUCUACGGACGACUGCUUCUCUUGCGCGAUUUGCAACGUUAAUCGUCGACGUCCCAAAACUCUUUCCCCUCCAAAGAAAAAAUAAAAAGAAUUCAAUAAAAGUAAAAAAAAGUCCGGAUAAAAGUGCGAAGAAGAUUGGUGUUGGCGAGUGUCAUUUGAGACGACGGCGAAUUUUAAAAUACCAACUUCGAAAUAGUUUUCGGUGCCAAAAAACAGCGUCCGUUCUUCUUGGCACAUCUUCGAUACAGAUUGUUACGCAAAAAAAGUCUUGCGAUGACGAUCGAAAUGACGCAAUAGUUUUUUCUGACGAUUUACAAAAUCUAAAUUGAAAACGUUAACGUAACUGUAAACGUAAAUUUUAUAUUUAAAUUGGGUGUGUUUGUAAAACGGAUAUAGGAUUUAUGUUGUUUGAUUAUCGCUUGAAAAAAAUGUUUUAUCUUUUAGAUAUAGUGAAUAAACUUAGAGGUUUUAAGAAUCGAAAAUUUUCCUGUUUACUUCAAUUUCUCUUAUUUUUACAUUUUCAUAAAGUUACAUUGAGGAAAAUUAACUCUUUGAGCUCUUUUCUAGAGAUUUAAAAAAAUUUAUUGUUACAAAAACCAACCCAA